UUUCCGUAGGUGAACCUGCGGAGGGAUCAUUAACACGUUCCAACCCUAUCAACCAACCUGUGAACUUUGUAUCUGCCUCAACUUCGAUAUUGGUAACAGUAUCGAAAACUUUGAUUUGGCUGUUUCUGUAGUACGCUGUCAUUUCGAGUCUCGAUGGUGGUUGAAGAGGUCAUACUCUCAAUUCGACUCCAGUGUAUCGUGUGAAGUCGCUUAGAGCUUCUUAGCAGCGCCAAAUUCCAAAGGAGGCCCAACCUAAUAGAUCAAACAGCUGACCAUCAGUUGUUGUUCUGUUAAACCUUUUCCACACGCCCUUUUGAAAGGUGUUGAGCUUGCUCAAUUCACCUUGCAAAACAGAUCAAGUCAAUUUCUAUCUGCCACUGACCUGUGUCUGAUCGUUAGCUCUAAGCUAUCGUAUCUUUGACUGCAGUGUGUAGCCAAUCAAAAAACUAACAGAGUAAUACAACUCUUAGCAAUGGAUAUCUUGGUUCUC
rnacentral:misc_RNA from 1 species